rnacentral:misc_RNA from 1 species
CAGACCCAGACCCCUAGCUUCAAGGUCAAGGUCACACAUAGAGUUUAAAGGUUAACAGGAUCUAAUUCUUGUCCAGUCCAUAACUCUACCAUUAGUGAAGGGAGUUUAAAAUGAACUGGCACAAAUGAUCCUUAUAUUGCGAUGAUAUAUCUUGCGCAAGACCUUGACCCUUAACUCCAAGGUCAAGGUCACACUUAGAAGGCAAUGGUGUUCCUUAUAUUGCGAUGAUGUAUCUUGCGCAAGACCUUGACCCCUAACUCCAAGGUCAAGGUCACACUUAGAAGGCAGUGGUGUUCCUUAUAUUGCGAUGAUGUAUCUUGCGCAAGACCUUGACCCCUAACUCCAAGGUCAAGGUCACACUUAGAAGGCAAUGGUGUUCCUUAUAUUGCGAUGAUGUAUCUUGCGCAAGACCUUGACCCUUAACUCCAAGGUCAAGGUCACACUUAGAAGGCAAUGGUGUUCCUUAUAUUGCGAUGAUGUAUCUUGCGCAAGACCUUGACCCCUAACUCCAAGGUCAAGGUCACACUUAGAAGGCACAAAUGUUCCUUAUAUUGCGAUGAUGUAUCUUGCGCAAGACCUUGACCCCUAACUCCAAGGUCAAGGUCACACUUAGAAGGCACAAAUGUUCCUUAUAUUGCGAUGAUGUAUCUUGCGCAAGACCUUGACCCUUAACUCCAAGGUCAAGGUCACACUUAGAAGGCAAUGGUGUUCCUUGUCUGAUCCCUAACUCUGCCAUUUAUCAAGGGAGUUGAAAAUGAUUUGACGCAAAUGCUUACAAAUUGAGUAGGUGUGUCAUGCUUAUGACCCGGGUCUCUGGGUUCAAGGUCAAGGUCACAAGAUGAUGUGUAUUUUUUUGCACAGACAACUUAUUAUUCUUAGGCAUGGUUUGAAAAUAUUUGUCACCAAUAGAGACAGCUCUUGUUUUUCAUGCAUUUGGAAUUACAUGACUGUUGAUGACUUACUAUUCAGAAUAGGCCUAUAUUUGUGACCAGAAUCCAAACUAAUAUUACCAAGGAAUAACAGAAAAAAGCUUGAGGUUAUAGACUUUUGGUGCUUUUUCAUACUAUAAAUACUACUAAAGUCAGUUGCUAUUGUUUUUGUGUCAGAUUUUUAAUAAAAUGUCAUUUUUUGUUAUCAGGUCGUUUUUCAGACUAAAAGCUUUAAAAAUGGCUUUAUGAGCCGUAAAAACGCCCAUAUUUGCAUGAACAUAUUUUUUCUUAAUUUUGUGGUAAAUUAUUUUUUUUACUUCCAUGUUGUUCUGGGGUAUAUACUGUUAUGAAAAAAUGUCAUUUCAAGUGGAAAAGUCUGAUUUAUAAAAAUGUCUUUGCAUUGCUAACUUUAAAAACCUGAAAUGAGAGCGCUCAGACAAUGUGAAGUUUGUCGCAUAGAUGGGGAUUGACCGCCUUUGUACAUAUAUGUCUACAGCUUCUCAGAUUUCACCGAAGACAAUUGUUCUGUGUUGUGAAUGGAUGUUGUUCGGCCGCAAGCCUUCCAGUCACACAGAAGAUCCUGGUUCGAUCACACAAAGGGUCGAUCACUUCCAUUGAUAUACAACAUGGAAAUGAGCUCGUGUAAGAAGGAGAGAGAUAAUAAUGAAACAGAAUGGGUAUUUGCUAAUGCAUGGCGGACUCUGUAUGGUCAAACACCAUUGAAAGACAGUAAACCAGACUGUACACGAGAUGCAACCUCCAAUUGCAAUGGUAUAAAUGCAAUUCUCAUGAAACUUGAUUCCCUUGCAUAUGAAGUGAAACUAGUAAAUAAGAGCCUUACUGAACGCAUUGAUUUGCUUGAAACUGAACUGGAGCUUAAAUUGAUGGGGGGAAAAAAUCUGAAAAAAUGGCUCGAAACUGAUGACACAGACAACAGGUCCUUGAACUUAGGCUUUAGAAAAGUGCCAGAAACUGUAAAUGAAAAUAUUGUGGAAAAAAUUAUUAUAAUAAAUGAUCACAUGAAAGUUGAGGAUGUUAAAGUAUCGUCUGCAAAGAGAAUUCCAAAUAGAAAUGAAGAAUCCGUAGUUCCAGGUAUUGUAAUAGCCACUUUUGCUGACAAAAAUGAACGGUCUAAAAUUCUUAAAGCAAAGAAAAACUUAAAAGAUAUAAUAUACAACAAUGUUUUUGUGCAUGUAGAGUCAAAGGAGGAAAGGAUUACUGCAAACAACUUGAGAUGCAGUUAACAAGGGAGAACACUUAGCAGUCAGAGGAAACCGUGUCUUUAAAGCUCAACAGAAUAAUGGCAGAAAUAGUAAUUCUAGGAAUAGUGGUACCCAUAAUAAUGGUACAAAUGGUGCAAACGAAAAUAAUGGUUUUCGUAAUUCAGGUUGUACAAAAAGUGGUACCCACAAUAUUGGUACAAAUCAUG